CCGAAAGAAGGAUACAAAAAAGCGGAGAUAAACAACAUAAUACCAGCCAAAAUAUACAAAAAAAAAAGACAAAUACAUAACUAUGGCGGAUACAAUUGGUUCUGAGAACAAAGAGAAGUCUUUAUAUUUGAUACAAAUUCAAUAUCUGGAGGAGCAGUUGGAGAGAUGCCAGCUUAAAUAUGACGAGCUGGAGAAACAGAACAAGGACCUGGCCCAUCAGUACGGUACUCUGGAGAAGGACAAGAAAGACACCACUCAGCACCUGAUACGCUCCGUGGAUGCAAACCAAAAGAAGGUGGAUAAGCUGGCUGAGAUGCUGGAGAGUGAGCAGCAGGAUGCCGAACAGGACAGAGACACCAUGGAGCUGCAGCACAGCUCGCUCAUGCAGGACCAGAUCAACACAUUUUACUUAGUGAAAAGGAAGAUGGUGGUUAGAGCUGAUAAGUGGCAUGAAAUGGAGGAGCAGCUGAUGCAGAAGAAGUCUGAAAUGGUAUCUCUGGAGGAACAGCUGGUCAGCCAGAGGGAAGAGCAUGAAGCUGCCAUCAACAGCCUGAUGAAUAAAAACUUGGAGGGGGAACGGUAAAGUCUAGGACAGAGUUAGCGUUACAUCCGCAGGGACAUUUUUCAUGCUGAUCUUCUUCGUUGAUGUUUGAUGGUUGCUUCAAAACGUCAGUAAAUGUUUUCCCUGUCCUCCAACUACAGGGAGAUAAUGGAGAGGCAGAACACAGUGGACGAAUGCAUUGAGAGCAAGACCUUAAAGAUUCUUUGGGAGGAGAGAGAUCAUCACAGCGAGCAGCUGAAGCAGCUCCAGUUCCUCCUGUACAAAAACGUGGUCCUGCUGAAGGAGAACGACAUCCUGCAAGACAAAAAAAUGGAUCUUUGCUUUGAGAGCAACCACCUGAAGGAAGGUCUCAACAGGAUUACCCUGGAAAGCUUUAUCUUCAAGAAGGAGGAGCAGCAGCUGAUGAAGGAGUUGCAGAAGGUGAAGGUGGAGCGAGAAGACUUUAUCAUCGCCCACAAGAGCAUGCUGGCCGAGAAAGAGGCUCUCAGAGAGCAAGUGGCCUCAGUGUCCAAGGAGAGCCGCCGUAAAACAGCCGAGGCAGAUCAGCUGAGGGCCGAGUUCCAGAUGGAGAGCAGCAGGAUAAGGCAGCUGGAGGGCGUUAUGCAGGAAGCAGUCAUCAUUCUCCGCCACAUCAUGACGGUAAAAACACACAGUCCUUUCAGGAGCAUCAGGACGGCUGCUUUAGUUCCCGCUGGAGCGUACUGAUGGCUUGAAAUGAAAUCCUGCAGCUCUGAAAUGUCAUACUUUCUGAGGGAGCUGUAUUCCAGAGAGCGAAGAGGAGUCAUUGGUUAUUGGUUCAAUUUACCCUCUGCUGUUCAGACAAACAUCCAGCAGUGGAAGAAGUAUUCAGAUCCUUUAUUAAGGAUCCUUAGCAAGUCAAAAA
rnacentral:lncRNA from 1 species